rnacentral:rRNA from 1 species
GUGGGGAAUAUUGGACAAUGGGCGCAAGCCUGAUCCAGCAAUGCCGCGUGGGUGAAGAAGGUCUUCGGAUCGUAAAGCCCUUUCGACAGGGACGAUGAUGACGGUACCUGUAGAAGAAGCCCCGGCUAACUUCGUGCCAGCAGCCGCGGUAAUACGAAGGGGGCUAGCGUUACUCGGAAUUACUGGGCGUAAAGGGCGCGUAGGCGGCUCUGUUAGUCAGGCGUGAAAUGCCUGGGCUUAACCUGGGGACUGCGCUUGAUACUGCAGGGCUUGAGGCCGAGAGAGGGUGGUGGAAUUCCCAGUGUAGAGGUGAAAUUCGUAGAUAUUGGGAAGAACACCGGUGGCGAAGGCGACCACCUGGACCAGCACUGACACUGAGGCACGAAAGCGUGGGGAGCAAACAGGAUUAGAUACCCUGGUAGUCC